AAAGGAAACGAACAGAGCAGACGAUACCAGAAAAAUUGAAGCUCGAAUAGAAACACUGAAAUGGCCGUUGAAUAAUUCAGUUUCUCUCGAUAGAUGACUCUGAUUCUAGUUUCCACCACUUUGCUCCGCCCCAAAACUGUCGAAAUUUUAGACAUUCAGACCAACGAAACGCGGUAUAGAUUCCUCUCAGCCUGAACCAACCAGGGUUCUAUGACUCUGCUAUUGCACACCUGAAUCAGUGAACACAAUCAGGUGGAUGCUACGGGAAAAGGUCAUGCCUAUUUCCCCCCGGCAACCGGAGGGGCGCUAACGUCAUAAAGUGGUAUUUUCCGCCGGCUGCCGCGGGGCGCUAAAGUCAAAAUUGUCUCUUGACCACCGGCUCCGACCCCGAUUGACAUGGACACGGUGUAAUCCCACUGAGCUUGCACGAUGCCUAGGCGUGCAAGAUACGAUAAAACUGGCCUUAUCUUCUUGACUGUACGUUGGCAGAAGUAGAGUCAAAGGAAAACGAUAUUUAGUUCCAUCCUGGAUAAGCCAAGGUGUAUUUCUACAUCACAUAGAAGAGUGAUCUGAAACUGAGACUGGAACUUCUGAGUUCAAAGCAUUUCCCAUUGUAUUAAUCCAGCAUAUUCAGUUAAAGGCAACACCGCAGGAAAGCCCAUGUUUCCGAAGUAUAUCCGUAUCCGACGCCAUUAUGACUGUUGGAUUUCUUAUUUCUCUGAGAAUGUUGUUCAGGACUUCAGGUCAUGGAAAUUGGUAGACAAAAGAUGAAAUAUGAAAUGGUCUGAAGUUGAACAUAGUAAGCUAAGCAUGCUACGCAAACUGGAGGUGCGAAAGGCAGUGGAACGGUGCUCGGAAGGUGACGGAGGACAGGAUGACUGUGAAAUUGUACAGUACGAUGAGUAACCAGUUUACAAGAAGGUUUAGAUGACAGUAAAUUGCUGAUGAAGCUUCACGAUUCCCAACUACUCAACACAUGCUGCGAUGGAAGACCACACUUAGUGGAAGAAAGAGCGCUCCAUCAGUGAGAGGAGGUGAUUUGGACUUGGUGGAAUACCUGAUGUCUUCAACAGUCGCACCGGUAUCUGUGUUUCUGCUUUCGUUCCAGCACAUUUCUAUGUCGGUAGCAUGUUGGGCGUAACAACGGAAAAUCAAGUAUGCCGAUCUGAAGAAAACAAACAAAAGCGAGGUUGCAGAUUCCAUUUGGCAGGAGCUUGGUAUUCAGCGGUGUUUACUUAGAGUAAAAUACACGACUUUGCUAGAGAGGAAUGUGUGCGUUAGAUCGAGUAAAACAUGGCUAGGCAAGAUGUAAUUUCUGAAGAUUCUAUUUGCUUUAGUUUUGGCAGUUUCGUUUAUUUGUGUGAAAGUGUUUUGCCGUUGGCUAACUGAAGUAGGUGUAAAACACCACACUCAACGGUCGAAGAAUGAACUAGAAAGUUUUGCUGUUCAUGAAUAAAAAGAUCACUUAGUAAAAAAAUGUUUGAACUUAGAUAAAAUUUGCGAAUGAUGAUUGUGUUUCGAAGUAUGUCGUUUUUAUUUCAAAUAGUUAGAAUUGCGAAAUAUAGUACAAAUGAGAAACAUA
rnacentral:lncRNA from 1 species